rnacentral:rRNA from 1 species
AGUAAAUUGGUUAAGUUAGAAAGGGCGCACGGUGGAUGCCUUGGCACUAGGAGCCGAAGAAGGACGGGACUAACACCGAUAUGCUUUGGGGAGCUGUACGUAAGCGUUGAUCCAGAGAUUUCCGAAUGGGGGAACCCACUAUCUUUAGUCGGAUAGUAUCCUUACGUGAAUACAUAGCGUGAGGAAGGCAGACCCAGGGAACUGAAACAUCUAAGUACCUGGAGGAAGAGAAAGAAAAAUCGAUUUCCUGAGUAGCGGCGAGCGAAACGGAAAGAGCCCAAACCAAGAAGCUUGCUUCUUGGGGUUGUAGGACACUCUAUACGGAGUUACAAAAGAAAGUUAUAAAUGAAGCGGUCUGGAAAGGCCCGCCAAAGACGGUAACAGCCCGGUAGUUGAAAUAGCUUUCCCUCCAGAGUGGAUCCUGAGUACGGCGGAACACGUGAAAUUCCGUCGGAAUCCGGGAGGACCAUCUCCCAAGGCUAAAUACUCCCUAGUGACCGAUAGUGAACCAGUACCGUGAGGGAAAGGUGAAAAGCACCCCGGAAGGGGAGUGAAACAGUUCCUGAAACC